UUGCCUCUGAUUCCAACUAUUAGUACCCAGCUUGGUUAUUGAAAUAGUAGGUCCCACCGCCACUUCCCCUAUUCUUUAAGCUCCUAGGAAGUUUGUGUGUCUGUUUUUAUCUACUUUCGGCUCUAAAGGAGGAAGAGCUCUGGGGAGGAGCUUUGCACUUCCCUCUUCUACCUUUUUAUUGGCUGCUGGAUGACUUUUACAGUUUGUCACUGCUACAGGAAGAGAUAGCGAACUAAAGAGAAGCCUGGGAAAGCUACAUUAUUAAUGAAUGGAGCCGUUCCUUGGGAAGCAUCUUCCAUUUUUGAGAUUAUGAGUGUAAAACAAAUCGAAGUCUCCAUACUCAAAUUUGCGAGCAAAGUGUUACUAUACACUGGGGGAAAGGGAUCUGAAACACCAUAAGUAAUGGGGGGGAAAUUUUGGCGCUUUAAAAAUUAAAAUUCCUGCUUUAAAAUUUUUACUUGUGGCAACCUUAUGGUAGGGGUGGAGGGUUGAACCUAACUGGAGAAUACUCAUUGGAGGAAUUAUUUAGCCACAAGAAGAAAUUUCAACAGUAUCAUAAAAUCAUAAAUUUUAGGCCUGAAGGGGACCUUCAAAGCCAUUAGGUCUAGACCCCCUUUUUUUACAGAUGAGGAAAUUGAAUACUAGAGAAUCAACUUGUUCAAGAUGGCAGAGCCAAAUUAGCUUAAUAAAAUUUUAUCAGGAAACAAACUUCUAUCCAAAGGGUUUCCUUUAAUGUGUUAACAUACACAGUUUUAAAAAAUGUUUUCUGAUUAUUCUGAUCUCCAGAUGUGAUUUGUUGCUACCAUAAGCUUUUAGUUUACACAUUUUAAAAUGUAGCUGAAAUAAUGAUUAUACAAUAUGAAUCCGUGUUUGGAGGCAUCUGAGAGACCCCUCCCCAUGAAAGGAAGGCAUGUAUGCUGAAAGAAUACAUGGAACUACUCAGGUUCCCAGUGAAUAAAACUGUCUCCAAGGUGACUGACAGCUAAACAUCAUGUGGAGGAACUCUUAGACAUUCUUUUCACAGGCCAGAUAGAGUAUUGAGAUUGUACUUGAAACUUGAUUGGCCCUGGAGGACUGAAGGCUCAGACUGUUGACAUUUCUUCCUUGAUGCCAAAGUACAAAACAUACAAAGAACUCCAGACAUUUUUCUCAGAGACUUGAGAUGUGUAAAAUAAUGGGUCACUUCAAGCAAGGGAGCUUUCUUCAAAUGAAUCAAUCUGAAGUAUCCUCAAUGGCCUUUUUUUUUCGCUGAAUAUCCUCCUCCUGCUCUGUCUAACUAAAUCUCCUUUUGUUAACUGUUGAA